rnacentral:rRNA from 1 species
AUUGAACGCUGGCGGCAGGCCUAACACAUGCAAGUCGAGCGAGCGGCGGACGGGUGAGUAAUGUCUGGGUAACUGCCUGAUGGAGGGGGAUAACUACUGGAAACGGUAGCUACUCCCGCAUACCAUCAGAUGUGCCCAGAUGGGAUUAGCUAGUAGGUGGGGUACUGGCGCACCUAGGCGACGAUCCCUAGCGGGUCUGAGAGGAUGACCAGCCACACGGGAACUGAGACACGGUCCAGACGCCUACGGGAGGCAGCAGUGGGGAAUAUUGCACAAGGGGCGCAAGCCUGAUGCAGCCAUGCCGCGUGUGUGAAGAAGGCCUUCGGGUUGUAAAGCACUUUAAGCGGGGAGGCGUUACCCGCAGAAGAAGCACCGGCUAACGCCGUGCCAGCAGCCGCGGUAAUAC